rnacentral:rRNA from 1 species
GUCGAACGGUGAAGCAGAGCUUGCUCUGUGGAUCAGUGGCGAACGGGUGAGUAACACGUGAGCAACCUGCCCCGGACUCUGGGAUAAGCGCUGGAAACGGCGUCUAAUACCGGAUACGAGACAAGACGGCAUCGUCAUUGUCUGGAAAGAUUUUUUGGUCUGGGAUGGGCUCGCGGCCUAUCAGCUUGUUGGUGAGGUAAUGGCUCACCAAGGCGUCGACGGGUAGCCGGCCUGAGAGGGUGACCGGCCACACUGGGACUGAGACACGGCCCAGACUCCUACGGGAGGCAGCAGUGGGGAAUAUUGCACAAUGGGCGAAAGCCUGAUGCAGCAACGCCGCGUGAGGGAUGACGGCCUUCGGGUUGUAAACCUCUUUUAGCAGGGAAGAAGCGAAAGUGACGGUACCUGCAGAAAAAGCGCCGGCUAACUACGUGCCAGCAGCCGCGGUAAUACGUAGGGCGCAAGCGUUAUCCGGAAUUAUUGGGCGUAAAGAGCUCGUAGGCGGUUUGUCGCGUCUGCUGUGAAAUCCCGAGGCUCAACCUCGGGCCUGCAGUGGGUACGGGCAGACUAGAGUGCGGUAGGGGAGAUUGGAAUUCCUGGUGUAGCGGUGGAAUGCGCAGAUAUCAGGAGGAACACCGAUGGCGAAGGCAGAUCUCUGGGCCGUAACUGACGCUGAGGAGCGAAAGGGUGGGGAGCAAACAGGCUUAGAUACCCUGGUAGUCCACCCCGUAAACGUUGGGAACUAGUUGUGGGGUCCAUUCCACGGAUUCCGUGACGCAGCUAACGCAUUAAGUUCCCCGCCUGGGGAGUACGGCCGCAAGGCUAAAACUCAAAGGAAUUGACGGGGACCCGCACAAGCGGCGGAGCAUGCGGAUUAAUUCGAUGCAACGCGAAGAACCUUACCAAGGCUUGACAUAUACGAGAACACUUCAGAAAUGAAGGACUCUUUUGGACACUCGUAUACAGGGUGGUGCAUGGUUUGUCCUCAGCUCCGUGUCC